rnacentral:rRNA from 1 species
GACGUAGGGCGCGAGCGUUGUCCGGAUUUAUUGGGCGUAAAGAGCUCGUAGGCGGUCUGUCGCGUCGGCUGUGAAAACUUGGGGCUCAACCCCAAGCCUGCAGUCGAUACGGGCAGACUAGAGUGCGGUAGGGGAGACUGGAAUUCCUGGUGUAGCGGUGAAAUGCGCAGAUAUCAGGAGGAACACCGGUGGCGAAGGCGGGGUCUCUGGGGCCGUAACUGGACGCUGAGGAGCGAAAGCUAGGGGAGCGAACAGG